UACAGAGGGUGCAAGCGUUGUUCGGAAUUAUUGGGCGUAAAGCGCGUGUAGGCGGCUUUGCAAGUCGGGUGUGAAAGCCCUCAGCUCAACUGAGGAAGUGCGCCCCGAAACUGCAGAGCUUGAGUGCCGGAGAGGGUGGCGGAAUUCCCCAAGUAGAGGUGAAAUUCGUAGAUAUGGGGAGGAACACCGGUGGCGAAGGCG
rnacentral:rRNA from 1 species